GAUGAACGCUAGCUACAGGCUUAACACAUGCAAGUCGAGGGGUAACAAGAGGAAAGCUUGCUUUCUUUGUUGACGACCGGCGCACGGGUGAGUAACGCGUAUCCAACCUGCCUAUAACUAGGGAAUAACCUUGCGAAAGUAAGACUAAUACCCUAUGAUUUCCUUUGAUGACAUCAGAUUAGGAAUAAAGAUUUAUCGGUUAUAGAUGGGGAUGCGUCUGAUUAGCUUGUUGGCGGGGUAACGGCCCACCAAGGCAACGAUCAGUAGGGGUUCUGAGAGGAAGGUCCCACACAUUGGAACUGAGACACGGGCCAAACUCCUACGGGAGGCAGCAGGGAGGAAUAUUGGUCAAUGGGCGGAAGCCUGAACCAGCCAAGUAGCGUGCAGGAUGACGGCCCUAUGGGUUGUAAACUGCUUUUAUACAGGAAUAAAGUUAGCCACGUGUGGUUAUUUGUAGGUACUGUAUGAAUAAGGACCGGCUAAUUCCGUGCCAGCCGCCGCCGUAA
rnacentral:rRNA from 1 species